GACAGAGGGUGCAAACGUUGUUCGGAAUUACUGGGCGUAAAGCGUGUGUAGGCGGCCUCGCAAGUCGGAUGUGAAAGCCCCGGGCUCAACCCGGGAAGUGCACUCGAUACUGCGGGGCUUGAGUGUCGGAGAGGUUGGUGGAAUUCUCGGUGUAGAGGUGAAAUUCGUAGAUAUCGGGAGGAACACCAGUGGCGAAGGCGGCGACCUGGACGGACACUGACGCUGAGACGCGAAAGCGUGGGGAGCAAACAGG
rnacentral:rRNA from 1 species